rnacentral:rRNA from 1 species
UAGGUUUUCGGACCUAGAGACCGGCGCACGGGAGCGUAACGCGUAUGCAAUCUACCUUUUACAGAGGGAUAGCCCAGAGAAAUUUGGAUUAAUACCUCAUAGUAUUAUUGAAUGGCAUCAUUUAAUAAUUAAAGUCACAACGGUAAAAGAUGAGCAUGCGUCCCAUUAGCUAGUUGGUAAGGUAACGGCUUACCAAGGCAACGAUGGGUAGGGGUCCUGAGAGGGAGAUCCCCCACACUGGUACUGAGACACGGACCAGACUCCUACGGGAGGCAGCAGUGAGGAAUAUUGGUCAAUGGGCGCAAGCCUGAACCAGCCAUGCCGCGUGCAGGAUGACGGUCCUAUGGA